GUGAAAACAAAAGGUUUUAAGAGAUCAUCCCCUGCUGACUGCCCCCACACCAGUUGCCACCCAACGACGCAGUCUCUAACCCAACAGCCAGAGUGAUCUUUUUCUUUAAUUGCCGAAUUGAUUUCCUGGAGAUGAUGAACCAGAGCUGGACUCCAAGGAAGAGCCAUGUGUUCUCAGCUUCCUAAACUUGGUCAACAGCCUGCAUUGCCUUCCAGUGGUCCCUCCUCAGAAGUAAUGGCCCUAUCUCAGAUGACAAGAUUGAGAUUUUUCUGAGCUUCAAUCUACUACAUAAAUUUGGACACUAGGUGGAAAACUUUAAUGAGGCCACAGCAGUUAGUGGAGUAGGAGGUGAACAGGCUGGGCUGCUCUGAACUCAACUCACCACUGGUCUGUAUUCCUGAACAAGUCAAUGAAUCUCUCUAUGCCUCAGUUU